rnacentral:rRNA from 1 species
AUGGGAACGCGAAGAACCUUACCUAGACUUGACAUCUCCUGAAUAGUGUAGAGAUACAUGAAGCCCUUCGGGGCAGGAAGACAGGUGGUGCAUGGUUGUCGUCAGCUCGUGUCGUGAGAUGUUGGGUUAAGUCCCGCAACGAGCGCAACCCUUAUUACUAGUUGCUACCAUUAAGUUGAGCACUCUAGUGAGACUGCCCGGGUUAACCGGGAGGAAGGCGGGGAUGACGUCAAAUCAUCAUGCCCCUUAUGUCUAGGGCAACACACGUGCUACAAUGGUGAGUACAGAUAGAUGCGAUACCGCAAGGUGGAGCUAAACUCUAAAACUCAUCCCAGUUCGGAUUGUAGGCUGCAACUCGCCUACAUGAAGUUGGAGUUGCUAGUAAUCGCGAAUCAGAAUGUCGCGGUGAAUACGUUCCCGGGUCUUGUACACACCG